AGUGAACGCUGGCGGUAGGCCUAACACAUGCAAGUCGAACGGCAGCACAGUAAGAGCUUGCUCUUACGGGUGGCGAGUGGCGGACGGGUGAGGAAUACAUCGGACUCUACUUUUUCGUGGGGGAUAACGUAGGGAAACUUACGCUAAUACCGCAUACGACCUACGGGUGAAAGCAGGGGAUCUUCGGACCUUGCGCGAUUGAAUGAGCCGAUGUCGGAUUAGCUAGUUGGCGGGGUAAAGGCCCACCAAGGCGACGAUCCGUAGCUGGUCUGAGAGGAUGAUCAGCCACACUGGAACUGAGACACGGUCCAGACUCCUACGGGAGGCAGCAGUGGGGAAUAUUGGACAAUGGGCGCAAGCCUGAUCCAGCCAUGCCGCGUGGGUGAAGAAGGCCUUCGGGUUGUAAAGCCCUUUUGUUGGGAAAGAAAAGCAGCAGGUUAAUACCCCGCUGUUCUGACGGUACCCAAAGAAUAAGCACCGGCUAACUUCGUG
rnacentral:rRNA from 1 species